rnacentral:rRNA from 1 species
CAGGACGAACGCUGGCGGCAUGCCUAACACAUGCAAGUCGAACGAGAUAGCAAUAUCUAGUGGCGAACGGGUGAGUAACACGUGAGCAAUCUGCCCCAUAUACAGGGAUAACAGUUAGAAAUGACUGCUAAUACCGGAUAAGACCACAGCCUGGCAUCGGGCAGGGGUCAAAGCGAUUCAGCGAUAUGGGAUGAGCUCGCGUCCAAUUAGCUAGUUGGUGAGGUAACGGCCACCAAGGCGACGAUUGGUAGCCGACCUGAGAGGGUGAUCGGCCACAUUGGAACUGAGACACGGUCCAAACUCCUACGGGAGGCAGCAGUGGGGAAUAUUGGGCAAUGGAGGAAACUCUUACCCAAGCAAUGCCGCGUGAGUGAUGAAGGUCCUCUGGAUUGUAAAACUCUUUGAUUAGGGACGAACGAAUGACGGUACCUAAAGAACAAGCCCCGGCUAACUAUGUGCCAGCCGCGGC